rnacentral:rRNA from 1 species
AUUGAACGCUGGCGGCAGGCCUAACACAUGCAAGUCGGACGGUAGCACAGAGGAGCUUGCUCCUCGGGUGACGAGUGGCGACGGGUGAGUAAUGUCUGGGGAUCUGCCCGAUAGAGGGGGAUAACCACUGGAAACGGUGGCUAAUACCGCAUAACGUCGCAAGACCAAAGAGGGGGACCUUCGGGCCUCCCACUAUCGGAUGAACCCAGAUGGGAUUAGCUAGUAGGCGGGGUAACGGCCCACCUAGGCGACGAUCCCUAGCUGGUCUGAGAGGAUGACCAGCCACACUGGAACUGAGACACGGUCCAGACUCCUACGGGAGGCAGCAGUGGGGAAUAUUGCACAAUGGGCGCAAGCCUGAUGCAGCCAUGCCGCGUGUAUGAAGAAGGCCUUCGGGUUGUAAAGUACUUUCAGCGGGGAGGAAGGCGAUGUGGUUAAUAACCGCGUCGAUUGACGUUACCCGCAGAAGAAGCACCGGCUAACUCCGUGCCAGCAGCCGCAGUAA